UAGUCAUAUGCUUGUCUCAAAGAUUAAGCCAUGCAUGUCUAAGUAUAAACUGCUAUACUGUGAAACUGCGAAUGGCUCAUUAAAUCAGUUAUAGUUUAUUUGAUGGUACCUUACUACACGGAUAACCGUAGUAAUUCUAGAGCUAAUACGUGCGCACACCCCGACUCCUGGAAGGGGCGUAUUUAUUAGAUAAAAGGCCGACCGGGCGCAAGCCCGACUCACGGUGAAUCAUGAUAAACGGACGGACCGCAUUGCUUCAAGCUGGCGGCGUUUCAUU
rnacentral:rRNA from 1 species